GGGCAGAUAGAUAUUGACUUGAUUAACAAUUUAACUUCUUGUCAGAUUUGCUCUAGAUGCUUUGGUUUCAUAGUUAUAAGCCAGAAACUGCAUUUUACCCCUAUGUUCUAUUUUUAGCCGUGGCGGCCAUCUUGGUUGAAUGGCCAGGUCAUCGGACACAUUUUUCAAACUAGAUACCCCAAAGAUGAUUGUGGCCCAGUAGUUUCAGUGGAGAUUUUGUAAAAGAUUACUUAGAUUUAUGAAAAAUGGUUAAAAUUGACUAUAAAGGGCAAUAACUCCUAAAGGGGUCAACUGACCAUUUUGGUCAUGUUGACUUAUUUGUAGAUCUUACUUUGCUGAACAUUAUUGCUGUUUACAAUUUAUCUCUAUCUAUAAUAAUAUUCAAGAUAAUAACAAAAAACAGCAAAAUUUCCUCAAAAUUACCAAUUCAGGGGCAGCAACCCAACAACCGAUUGACCGAUUCAUCUGAAAAUUUCAGGGCAGAUAGAUCUUGACCUGAUAAACAUUUAUAUCCCCAUGUCAGAUUUCCUCAAAAUGCUUUGGUUUUUGAGUUAUAAGCCAAAAACUGCAUUUUACCCCUAUGUUCUAUUUUUAGCGGUGGCGGCCAUCUUGGUUGGUUGACCAGGUCACGCCACACAUUUUUUAAACUAGAUACCCCAAAGAUGAUUGUGGCCAAGUUUGAAUUAAUUUGGCCCAGUAGUUUCAGAGGAGAAGCUUUUUGUAAAAGAUUACUUUAAUUUACGAAAAAUGGUUAAAAAUUGACUAUAAAGGGCAAUAACUCCUAAACGGGUCAACUGACCAUUUUGGUCAUGUUGACUUAUUUGUAGAUCUUACUUUGCUGAACAUUAUUGCUGUUUACAGUUUAUCUCUAUCUAUAAUAAUAUUCAAGAUAAUAACCAAAAACAGCAAAAUUUCC
rnacentral:lncRNA from 1 species